GAUGAACGCUGGCGGCGUGCCUAAUACAUGCAAGUCGAGCGAACGGACGAGAAGCUUGCUUCUCUGAUGUUAGCGGCGGACGGGUGAGUAACACGUGGAUAACCUACCUAUAGGACUGGGAUAACUUCGGGAAACCGGAGCUAAUACCGGAUAAUAUUUUGAACCGCAUGGUUCAAAAGUGAAAGACGGUCUUGCUGUCACUUAUAGAUGGAUCCGCGCUGCAUUAGCUAGUUGGUAAGGUAACGGCUUACCAAGGCAACGAUGCAUAGCCGACCUGAGAGGGUGAUCGGCCACACUGGAACUGAGACACGGUCCAGACUCCUACGGGAGGCAGCAGUAGGGAAUCUUCCGCAAUGGGCGAAAGCCUGACGGAGCAACGCCGCGUGAGUGAUGAAGGUCCUCGGAUCGUAAAACUCUGUUAUUAGGGAAGAACAUAUGUGUAAGUAACUGUGCACAUCUUGACGGUACCUAAUCAGAAAGCCACGGCUAACUACGUG
rnacentral:rRNA from 1 species